rnacentral:misc_RNA from 1 species
GAUGAAGAACGUAGCAAAAUGCGAUAAGUAAUGUGAAUUGCAGAAUUCAGUGAAUCAUCGAAUCUUUGAACGCACAUUGCGCCCGCUGGUAUUCCGGCGGGCAUGCCUGUUCGAGCGUCAUUUCAACCCUCAAGCCCCCGGGUUUGGUGUUGGGGAUCGGCUCUGCCCUUCUGGGCGGUGCCUCCCCCGAAAUACAUUGGCGGUCUCGCUGCAGCCUCCAUUGCGUAGUAGCUAACACCUCGCAACUGGAACGCGGCGCGGCCAUGCCGUAAAACCCCAACUUCUGAAUGUUGACCUCGGAUCAGGUAGGAAUACCCGCUGAACUUAAGCAUAUCAAUAAGCGGAGGA